AUUUUAAAUUUGAUCUAAAUACAAUACGUUCUAACAAAAAAAAAACGAGUAUACUUUAAAUUCUUCUGAUUAUUCAUCUUUGGAUGUUUCAUCUGAUGAUAAUGUUGUUUAUGUGGAUGAUACUUCAUACAAUUCUGUCUGUACAGAUAGUGUUGAUAAUAUGUACGAUGAAAGUAUAACCGACAGAGAUAAUGCAAUUUCGUUCGAUGAUGAUAUACCUACAAAAUCAAAAAAAAACUCUUGCAAAAAAAAAAAAUCAAGAAAUGAUUUUGUAUCAAAUAGAAAUAUAUCAAAAAAAAAAAAAACGGUUUCUUUUAAAUUUAACCCCUCCAACCAAUAUAUAAAAUCAAACGAAGAUAAUUUUUGUUCAAAUUUUAAAUCAAAGAAAAAAAUCUACGAUUCAAAAAAUGAUGGUCUAAGUAAACACAUUUUUUUAAAUGGUCCUGAAGAUGCAAUACUAAAAGAAGAUAUUUCCAAAAUGGAAAACGAUUUAUCAAAACUGAAUGAAAGUGAUGGUUUUUCCUUAAGUCAGCAGUCCAUAAAUUACAAUAGUGAUAACAAUAAAAAUAAAAAUGGUAACAAUAAGAACUUCAACGACAGUUGCAAUAAUAACCAGGUAUAUCAACGAUAUAUCUCAGAUAGUAAAUCAUUCAUAAAACAAAAAACAGAAGAUAGUGACACAACAUAUGUACCAGAUAUGUUCUAUGAAUUUAAUGACAAUCUAUCUAUAAAUUAUAAUGAAGAUGUUUUUACAUUUAGAGCCCCAAAUGCCAAGUGUUUUAAAUUAAGGCAAUUGUUUUCAUGUUCUAAAGUUAUUAGAUUUUUUUUCAAAAAAUUAAAAUCAUGUGAUAAUAAAAUAAAAUACAUAACAAUGGAUUCGUAUAAGUACAAUGAAGUAAUAAAUACUGCCACUGGGAGACACAGUGGUUAUCGUAAUAAAUUAAAAUAUGCUUCAAAAAUUAAAAAAUUUAAUGAAUGGUAUAAUAUAUGGGUGAAAGAUCUUUUAUUUGAUUACUACACAAAAACAGGUAUAUUAAUUUUAUUAUUACUAAUUUUAAAUAUAUUAAAUAUAUUUUUACAAACAAUAUCAUUUUAUUUUUUAUUAAAAAAAGCAGAUUUGACCAAUAUAAUACCAAUUGAAUCUAAUAAAACUAUAACAAAACCAAUAAUGAAUGAAAACUAUGACAUUAACCAUAUGAUUAAUUUCACAAACCUAUGUUACUACAUAGCUUUAAGAAUACCUAUGCAACUUAUUUUAAAUGUAUUAUUGGUACUACCAUCUAUAAUAAUUAAAAAAAGUAAAUAUUUACAUUUAUUUAAUAUAUGUAGUAUUUUAAAUUGUUUAGUAAACAUUAUUUUUGGUAAUAUAGACAUUUAUUACUCCUUGAAUCCAAAAAUAUUUUACAGAAGUAACGUAGAUAAGGUAUUAUUUUAUUACAACAUGUUAGACAUAUUUUACAUUGGAAAAAUAUGUACAAGUAUAUUUAUAAUCCCAUUUAUUACUAACUUUAGUGAUAUGAAAACGUUUAUAUUAGUAUGUUUAAGUUUUAUGAGUUAUACAAUAGUAGGAUAUGAUCAAAUCCAUGUCACUUCGUCUAAAGUUCAUUUUAUUCUGAAUACAUUAAUUAUUUGCAUUGUCAUUAUUUCUAUAUUAACCUUCAAAUACUCAAAGUUGUUGAUACAAUUAAGAAAACUUUUAUUUAUCAAAUACGUUUUACCUUACUAUACGUAUUUAACAUUAAUUAAAGAAAGUCCCGUCAUAAAAAUGGAAAUUAACAAAAACCGUAGUCUAUCACAUACAAACAGCGAUGAUAGCUAGAUUUAAAAUUUUAUAUGUUACAUUUGUAACCACACUAAAUGAAUUAACAAGCUCACAUAAGAAAAUAUAUUUGUUUUUACGAUUUUUUUUUAAUGUACAUAUUUGACACGAUUUGUUAACAUAUACAUGUGAUGAUGCAUUUUGGCAUUUGCUAUUUGUUAUUUGUUCUUAUUUGCUGUUUGUUCUUAUUUGCUGUUUGUUCUUAUUUGCUGUUUGCUCUUAUUUGCUAUUUACUCUUAUUUGCUAUUUGUUUGUUAAUUAUUUCCAUGAUUUCUUAUUUUUUAUUCGCUCUUAUUUGUUCUAAUGUACUCUUACUUGCUGCUAUGUACUCUUAUUUGUUAUAUUUUUUUAUCCGUCUCCAUUAUUAUUUGUUUUCUU
rnacentral:lncRNA from 1 species